AAAGCUGAGGCCAGCAAUAAAUAUCAAUAUAUGGAAAGCCAAGCAUGCUUAAAACAGUGUGGUAGGCCCGGAGGAAAGGGCAAACACUGAGAAUAUGAGAAGAAAAGGAGCAAAGUCCCCAAAGGAGAAAGAAGUGUCUUUAUUUUCUACAUUUCCUAUGAAAGGCUAAUUUUGCUGCUUUCAAGCAAUUCAAAAUGAUUAUAGGGUCUGGCUCUGCUGCCCAGGCUGAGAUGCAGUGACAUUACCAUGGCUCACCACAACCUUGAACCCCUGGGCUCAAGCCACCCUCCCACUUCAGCCUCCAGAGUAGCUGGGACUACAGACAGAGCCUUGCUCUGCUGCCAGAUUGGAGUGAAGUGGCGUGAUCUCGGCUCACUGCACCCUCCGACUCCCUGAUUCAAGCGAUGCUCCUGCCUCAGACUCCCAAGUGUCCUUCUGAACAGACCUUCACAUGGAUGAUACUUGUUCCGGGAGAAUGCAGCAUGAACACACAGAUUUGGUCACAAUAACGAAUGCUCCUUUAAAGACCAGCUGAGGAGGCCGGAGAGUGCUAAAAUCAGAAAGGCAAAACAAGGUUAGAAUGGAGCCCAUGCAAAGAAAAUAUGGACCUGAAGAAAAACAAGCUAUGGACUAUCUUCUGUCUCAUGCUAGCAGUGGAGUAGGAAAAGGACUCAAAAGACUUCUACUGGCCAUAAUGAAGUACCUGUUACUAUAUUUGCUUUCCUACCAUAAGCAAAUAUAAAACUGGACAAUGUAUAGGCAACUGAUCUCAUGCAUUUCAAGCAGCACAGGAUUCUGAUAAUUAACAGAAGGAAAGCACAUGAGGAUAAUACUGGAGGCUGCCAUGGGAGAAGUCUGCACAAAAAGAGCAAGUUUAAGAGCUUCAGCAGUCAUAAAUGGCUUGAGAAGAUUAUGCUAGAGAUUGAAGCAGAUGGAAGAUUCUAGAAACAGAAAGCUUUCUUUUCAUUGGUGUGAGUCUUGAAUAUAAAUGGAAAUCAGAGGUCUGUAAUAGCAGGCCAGUGUGGAUAAGGCAGUAAGGUUUUGAGUCUGAGGAGAUGGCUGGGGGCAGUUUGUAGACUUAUUGUUAGUCCACUGUAGAAUUUGAGACUAUAGCCAGGGCUUAAGGUUCCAGUUUCAAAUUAAAGGCAAAAGAAAUCAGCAAUACCAAAAUGAAGACAGAAGCCUGGGAAUUGUGCCUCAAGAUCUGGACUGAGAGGGCAUUUCUACACAACAGCUCUCCUAAGGGCAGGGCUAUGACCGUUGUUGCUAAGCUGUCACCAUCUCUCCUUCCCUAUUAGACUGGCUUCUGUGGGGUAAUUAACCAGUACAAGGAUGUAUGGGAAGCUCUUCUGAGAAGACCUCACAUUAAAACAAAGUGUCCUUAUUCAAGCUGGGUCAUAUUUGGGCACCUUGCUAUUACAGCUUUGAGGAGGGAUAUCAAACUGUCAUAUUCACCUAUGAGUUUAGGAUCAAUGGAGGGAAGAGAACAGAAGGGCCACACAGAAGGGGAAGCUCAGGCACAGACAGCCAGAAGCCAGGUUCACUGUAGAGGUGAGAUUAUCAAAGAUGACCAUACAAAGGCUGCAGAGGCAAGAUGCUUCCAAUAGCCAGGAAGAAUGUGGGCAGGGGAGAAUUUGGUCCAUUCGAAGUUAGAAUGGUAUAUGAAGACACUUGUAAUCAAAUAAAUGGAGAACAUAUUUGUAAAGGGAAAUAAAGUAGGAGUUAAUUUUUUUAACAAAUUAUGAUUGAAAUCUAAAAUGCCAAGAUUAACAUUCUACAAGGGUAUUAAUACAACAAUGCCAUUUUAACUCAAAGAAUGUCUAAAUAUUUGUGCAAAAUAGCUGCUUACUGAUGCUUGUGAAAAGGAAGAGAUUGCUUUCCAGCACACUGUAUCAGAGAGCCAUGAUAAUAGCCAUAGCUUAAGCAGACAAAGUAAAACAUAAAAAUCCAAAAAACUAUCCAUCACUACUACCAUAACUCUUUAAAAAUGCAAAGCUAUUAUUUAUGGCACAUUCCAAUUCAGUUAACUUCCUUGUUGCCUUUAAAUAGAUGCCCCGACUUAAUUGAAGUGUUUUAGUUAAUAACAUAAAAAUAACAAAUUGGAACUAGAAAAUGAUUACAAAAUAGAAAAAAAGCCUGGGAAUGUCAAGUGGUUCUUAAGAAUAUCAGAUAAGUGAGCUCAUUCAAUGAUAGAACAAGAAAUACUAGAGCGAUAAGCUGAAAGCUACAUAGGACUGAAGUUUUUUAGACUCUACAUUUAUCAAAGUAUUGGGUCAAUUUUGUUGUGGACAUCAAAACUAUCUCAAGAAAAAGCUCAAAUUAUUACACUGCACUGGAAUUUUAGUUUAUCCAUUAAGAUUUGCAGGGAGCAAAACAGCAGCUUCCUUGUUAUAAUGCUGUUUGUCCUAAUGAGGGGAACUUAAGGGAGGCAGAGAGAGAAGCACAUACUGUCUUAUUUCAAUAUGAAACCCAAACAGCAAGCAACUGUCUCUUCUACAGAAGUGCAACCUCAAAGAGUUCUGAGAGUUUGUGCCGUAUCACAGCUGGGACCUUGUUGUAGUCCAAAUUAGUGUGUGUUCCUCAAUAUCCUAGGGGAGGUUCAGAUAUCCUUUCAAUCAUUCUCCUGGAAUUCUGGCUUCUGAGAAUUUGAUAUGAAAUGGAAAUUGACUAACACGAAGAAAAGACAGAAACUUGGCCUAAGGCCAACCAUUUUCUUUCCUUAGUACAGGGUAACCAUAUAACUUAUUUUCCAACUUGGACAGACUCCGAAGGGGACUCUUUUAAGAAUUGUGCCAGGACAAUGGGAGUCGGUAGCAACUGUCCCAGGUAAAUGGAACAUACACUCGGUUUAGUCAUAGAGAAUCUAUGUCUAAUAUAUUGUUUCUUUAGUUUUUGUAUACCUUAGUAGCUAAAUAUGACUAAAUGUAGCUAGUCUUUAUAAAGUGUAAGCUUUUUAUUCUUUAAUACUCUGUGGCUUUGUGAGACAAUUUGGUGUCACUUAGGCCCUGUACCUCUGAGUUUACUGAGAAUAAAAACUCAUGAUUCAAAAAGUUAAACAAUCGUUAAUGAAGUAACUCCAAAGAGCCCUAAGAGAUCACACACAUAUGGAUUUCUACUCUAUAAGUUUAAUUAUUCAUAGUACAGAGUGACUUAUGAGAAGCCUCAUGCCUCAUGAAUGAUGAACAUUGAAUCUGUUCAUAAAUAAUAGAUUAAACUUUAAAUCAACAACCAUUAGAGAAAACAGAAAUGUAUUAUGGUGAGUUUCAUUCAUAUAUAUAUCUGCCCUUUUCUAUAUAUUUUAAUUAAACCAAUUUAAGUCAUAAAUUCUUCAAUUAUAAUUCAGGCAUAGGUUCUUUACUCAAAAACGAAAGAUAGUCAUCUGGCAUUAAAAGAGGAAGAAGGAAGUGAUCACUAACAGCUGGAAUCAAUGGUCAUAUGUAAAUAUAAACCAUGGUUCUUGGGGCCACUGUUUGUUUUUGUUUCGUGUUUUUUUUGCCAAUAUUGAAAUUGUCCUGCAAUGUCAAAGUCAUCUUUCUAAAUCUAGUUGCUAAUACUAUGGCAUCCUUUUUUUUGCUAUUCUUAGUAUUGUAAGAAUGCGAACUCAGAACCUAUUAAUAGAAAGUCUUCCCUUUGGAAAACGGAGCUUAGACCCAGAAAGGAGGGUGCUGCAUUACCAGCUCUCUGCUCUCCUCCUCUGAACAGUCUCUCCCCUAGGUUUCCCCUCCUCCUCCUCCUCCUCCUCUCCCUGCAGAUUGGUCCCUCCAUCUCUUCGCCAUUCUGACCCCUUUAAAUUUCUUUGUAUAGAAUUUUUUUAAUAAAAUUUCUUUUUAUAGCUAGA